AAUCAUGCCAGUCUAGACGCAGCCGUACUGUUUCUAGCCAAGUGCUUUUGGUGUGUCUUUCAUAUUUAAUUCAAUUAAUUAAACAAAACUAAUGUGACUGAGCUACUGGAUAACUAGUGGUAUUAUGCCUAAAAGUGCUUAUGCAACACUGUCAUUUAUAUGGCAUUUUACAAAGUGACAUUCCCUGCCCUGAAGAACUUAUGAAUUAAUUAUAAUGAGUAGUGCUAUAUAAAUGCAAAAUAAUACAUGGAAUUAAGUCUUAAUACCCUUUAGGGCCAUCUUUUAAGACAGUGACUACUAGCCUGAAUAAGAUUGGUCUUCAGAAAAUGACCUAUUUAUGCUGUAAGGAGGCUAAAUAGGCCUGCUGAUGCUUUAUUAGGAAAGACUUUAUGUAGGGUAAAGUGAAAUAUUAGUAAAAGUGACUUUACUUUGCAUUCCUUUAGCUGCUAUAGAAUACAGGUGACACCUUAUGGCUUUUGCUCUGCAGAUAAGACCUUUUUAUGUUUCCUGUCAAUACAAUGUGACAUGGUUCUGAUGAAUGAGGUAGAGAUAUGAAAAUGAGUAUAAAAUAUUACCAUAUUGAUAUCCCUUAAGCAAUGCAGAAAAGGUUACAUUAAUGUCGUUUUCCAGGCAUUUUUAUGACAUCUGACUUUCAAAUCAGUGCAUAUGUCUGGCAGGGAAAAUGCAAAUCUAUCCUACCCUAUUCAAGAUGACAGAUUUUUUUUAAGGGAUCAUUUAAUUUAGGGCUAAAAUAAUAAAUUGCAGGAUUUAAUAACUGAGACUAAGCUGACCAAACUGGAUUGAGAAUUUUCUCCCCUUCUGGUCCAUUAUCAAAGGAAUGAAUUGUCCCCUACUCUUGUCUUGCUGUCCCCUAAUAACCAUCAAUCACGCUUUUAUUUACUGGUAUUCCAUCAUGAGGAAAAGAUAAAGCAGGGGUGGGGAACCACAGGCCCGGUGGCCAGAUGGAGCCCAUGGCUUGUCAGGAUCCAGCCCUCGGAGUUCAGGGCUUCCCCCAGCAUUGGAGAACCUGCACUGGCAUUCCAGCUCCCCUGUCACCACCCCCUCACGGGACUGGAGCUCAUAAAAUCUAAUAACCUGGGCCCUCCUAAACUCUUGUGUGGGAGAAGAAUGUGGGGGAAUAUCUUCUUUCUUCUCAGUCAGUGAGGGUUUUUUUUGUUUGUUAGCUUCUCAUUUGUGUGUGGCCCCUGACUGAUUUUUCUGUGGGUCAGUAGCUCCUGACCCAAAAAAGUUCCCCAUCCCUGAGAUAAAGGAAGUCAACAGGAGAGUUUCUCCCUUUGAUCUCCCACAGUAAAGACCCACAACAACUUGACUGAAGGUACAUUGACUCCAGAUAAUGUAUUCACGUUGCUGGAGUUUCGUAAAUUAGGUUGACAUUGCCCCAUAGCGUAGACCUGCCAUUAGCGAAUAAAGGCAGUAAAAGAAGAACCAAGGGUCAGCUAUCCCUUUCAAGAAGAAAUUAAUAUUUUUGAGGAAACAAUGACUGGGACAUGAAGUUUUAUCAUAGAUUAGAAACUUCUGGCUAAAAAACAGGGUGGGAAUAAAUGGACAGUUUUGUACGUGGCCAAAGAUGAACAGUGGAGUACUGUAAGUUCCACAGUAGGAAUGAUGUUUAACAUUAGUUAAUGUUCUGAGGGAAAAAAUGGUGAACUGUGAGAUGGCAAAAUGUAGAGGAUUCAUUUGACUGUGUGGAAACUGACAAAGACCUAUAAAAGAUGGAUGAUGGUGACAAAAUUCACUGUUGAUAAAGGCAAGAUCGUGCAUAUUGGAAGCAAUUAUUAAAAAGUCACACAUUUCUGAAUUCAAAAUUAACAGCAAACAAGCAAGAGCUACCUGAAUGACUAAAGAAUUUUGACCUUGCCAUUGUCAAAAAUUCGUACUUGACUAGGUGGACCACCAAUCUGAUGACGUAUGGGAGUUACUGAAUUCAUAUUUUGCCACGUUCAUUGUACCAUGUUAAUAGAUACUAUAUGCUGUGUAACUGUGUUCUUGUAAACUAAUUCAGACUCUAUAACAGAUAAUAAAACAAUCUUACAUUUUAUUAAUGAUUCUAUGACUCAAAAUAUAGCUUUCUUAGAGGCAAUAUUGCCGUGUAAAUUUAGGCUCCCGCUUGUUUUAGAAAACAAGAGCAUUAGAAAUGUUUUCAUGAUUCUUUCAAAAUUCCAAAGGAAAAAAUUAGCUUCAAUUUAAAAUUCUGCUGUGUUUGCAUCCCUAAUACUGCAACCCUACAUAGUACAAGAAAACCGGGAAGUGAAAUUGACUAGAUGCUGACUGUAACUGAAAAUGAAUCUGACUAGUCUAAUUUUAGUGCCCAACCUGAAUGAAAUGAGAGAGAAGCAAAUGACAUUAAUGAAGAGGAGUCUACGAACUUUAAAAUCUUAACUGUAUUCAUGUAAGGUUAAGAAAACAAUUAAACAGUUCAACUUAUUUUUACAAAUAUUUUUAUCCUGUAGUGCAAUUGUCAGAGUUAAUUGUUCAGAAGCUCUUCAUCACAAGGACAAAUGGGAUGGCCACUAAAAUGAACUAAUUGCAAAUUUCCAUCUUUCUAUUGUGCUAUUCUGUGUUAAGUUACAUUGGUUUUUUUUUUAUGGCCUUAUAUUUUUUUCUUUCCUAUAGUUUUUAAUGUGGUAUAUUUGCAUUAAAUGGUGUAUUUACCAUUCUUUUAAAAGAUAUCAAAUUACAAUGCUUGUGUUUGCUAGAGGUACAGAUAGUUGUUACACUGUGUACUAAACAAUGAGUAGUACUCAUAAAUAUUUUUCAGUGCAUUGUUCCUUUGUGCCUCAAUAUCAGUCUGGGGUAGUAUUUUUGCACACAGAUUUAUUUUAAAAUAUUUUUAGAACAAGCUUCAGAAAAUUCCAUUGCUUAACACUUUCCACUUGGUCUGAGUAAAGUUUGUUUGCUGCAUAAUAUUUCACUUGAAACAAUAUAUAUUUUAUCCUCUAACCUAACUGUCUAUCCACAUAGGUAAAAUUAAAAUUGUUCUUGCUGGGAUUUUUUAGCAGAAAUAAUAGUGAUGCAGUUUGCAGAAAGAAUGCCUACUAAACUUACACAACAGAAAAUCAUGCAUUUCCAUUUUAAUUAAAACUACUUCCUAAAACUUCCUGACUGCUUAUCUAACUAGAAUCUAGCUCGCUAUUUUUCCUUAUCCCCCAAAUGUUAGGGAAAAAAACAGUUAUGUAUUUAAUCAAUAUGUAGAUUUUGAACUUUUAAAAAUAAAGUCUGUUGUUUACUGGUCCCUCUGUGUUCCAAGCAUAUAUAUAUAUAUAUAUAUUAACAUUUUGGGCUUUUUUAUUACAUUUUUGGGUGGUGGUUAUUUACAAUUUUUGAGUUUUAUAUAAUGUUGAAAAUCAAGUUUUGGGGGCUUUCUCUUUGUAGUGUAAAAUAUAGUAUAUAUUACUCAAUACAGUAAACUCUGUUGUAAUAAGCAAUAUUUGUCAUAUUCAAACAGCACCACAUUAAAGUACAGUAGGGAUUAUAUAGUGUGCACCAUCAGAGUACACAGACUAAGGCACAAUAUAUUUGUGCCCUUUAGAAAUCAGAGUAUGCAUUACUGCACUGUGUAGACAAACAGUUGGAAAUAAAUAUUUCCAGUGUUUUUGUGCUUAUCAGUUAAAUGCCAAUUUUUGAUUAAUUGUUUUUAGUGUGGGUUUUUUUGGUGUUUGGGAUAUUUUAUCAGUUAAAAACCAAAAUUAAGGAUAAAAAUAAGUCAUCUGUCUUACCCUGUGCCUUGUCUCUUUACACCUCAUUCCCAACUGUCACUAACUGUUUCUCAUGGAACAUUUACUUUUCAGCUAUCCCCAGGCCUGGUUCUCCAUUUAAUUACAUAAUUUUCUCUUCUGAUUCUUUAAGGGCCAUAGCAGCUUUCCAGAGCCAAGCAAGUAAGCUCUUCAGGUUUUGCAGUUAUGUUCUAAAAUGUCUGUCAUUUUUAAGAAUAUACAGUACUUGUUCUCAGUACCUGGCUUUUAAGACUUGUUAUAGUUAUUUUUAGUAAGCAUUACUCUUCACCUUUACCAUUGUAUAAGAAACAAUUAGUCAUCUUAUUGCAAACUGCUUUGAAGGAAAUUGUUCACUAUCUACCAGCUAAAAUAUAAAGCAACAUUUUCCCAGGGAAAGCAUUUAGUAACUAAAGUGAGAAAUGUCAUCAGUGUUAUAGUAUAGUCAUUAGUGCUGGCUUAUUAGCCACAGCUCAGUGCAUUUAGAAAGCAGCUCCCAUGCAUUCAGUCAUCAAAACUGUCAAGCCAUUUUUCUACAAAUCCAAUUUAGAUAAAUGGAAUUAAUGGAUUAUAAAAUAAAUCUAAAUAUAUAGUAUAAAUGUUGAUUGGAAUACAUAUACAAAUUGAAUUGAAAAUAAAAGGUUGCUUGAAUGUAUCUCAAAUGUCAGCUUUUAUCUAUUCUUUUUGGCAAAAAGAAAUAAAAAUGUAGUCUGUCAUAAUAUUUUUCUGGUUGCUCCGUGAAAGUCUUUGGAUCAUGUAACUUCUAUCCAGAGUCUGGAAAGAGGAUAGAAGAGAUAACCCUAAUGUGCAAUAAGGUUCCUUCAGUUAACUGAUGGCACAUAUCCCAGUUUUGUUGUCAGGAUCAUUGUUAAAAUGGCUUUUUUAAAAAUAGGGAAAAUCUGUUUUUCUUCCAGAUUAAUUUAACCAUAAUGGAUGGUGGAGGCAUAGCUGUUCCAAAUAUAAAAGGGUAUAUUAACAAAACUAUGAUUUGGCUUAGCUGCAUAGGGUUUUCACUAAAUCAGUGGUUGCCAGCUUGUGGUCCUCAGACCCCUGGGGGUCCAUGAUGGUACUGUAGGGGGGUCUAUGGAAAGUUUAAAAAAAGAAAAGUAAGGAUUAGGCCUACCAUGGAAUUGGGACUUUCCGCCAGGUGAUUCUCAUCCAUGGCUCACUGUUCAUGACCGGCCACAUACAUGCUGCCUCCCGCCCUCGGGACGGGAUCUUGAUACUCCAGGAAGCACCAUUCCUCCUCCUGCCACCAGCUGUGAUGCUGUUUAUGCUGCAGGCCUCUCUCCUCUCCCAGUCCCGCGGUGCGCCCAGUCUUUUCUUUUCCUUUCCUUUUUUUUCUCCCUCUGGGCUCCAUGCCCAGAUAAGGACGGCAUGCCAGGACAGAGCUGCCUUGGGCCUUAAGACCCUCGUUGCUGUAUGCUCCGUGGAUGGACAGGAGAUGUGCUGAUGGGAGCUGAGGAAGCAGCGCAGGCCAAGAGAUGUGCUGGCUGCCGCCCCGGGGGGAAGAGCAGGUCCAUAUGUUUUUAACAGAUUGAAAAGGGAUCCAUUUGCUCGAAAAUGCUGGGAACGACUGCACUAAAUCCAUGCUAACUCUACCUGCUUUUCCUCCACCUCACUUCCUCCUUUUCCCCUGAGUCUUAAGACUUAUUUAGAACUUAAACCAGCUUCCAAUUCAGGUAUGUGACUUAAACAAAGCUUCAAAAUUGCCUAAAAUCAGUAGCGUGAGAAAAGUGCACUUCCUACCUUCCAUUCCUGUCUAUACAGUUCUCUACACACCUCAAGAGAUAUUGCUGGUUUCCCCAGAACAAGCAAGUGGAAACAGUCCUUUGGAGAAGCCAUUGAGUUUUUCAGUGGAACUUGAGACUGGGUUUGUGAUGGCAUAAUGGCUUAAUAUUGCAACCACUUCAACUGCCUACCAGCUUAUAAUAAUAGGAAAUGGGGGAGAGGUUGGAAACAGUUUGGAGUGGAAUAAUGCAAAGUGAUUAGUUGCAGAAGACAAUGAACAGACAAUCUCAAAAGUACUCUCAGAUGAUGACCCAGCACGUUUGUUUUAAGAACACUUUCACGGUAGAUUGGACAAAAUGCAAAGAAGGUACUAACGUGAGAUUUCUAAAAACAGCCACUACACUUGACUCAAGUCUUAAGAAUCUGAAGUGCCAUCCAAAAUAGAAGGAUGAGAUGUGCAGAAUGCUUUCAGAAGUCUUAAAAGAGCAACACUCUGAUGCAGAAACUAUAGAACAUGAACCACCAAAAAAGAAAAUCAAACAUCUGUUAGUGGCAUCUGACUCAGAUGUUGAAAAUGAACAUGUGCCAGUCCACUCUGCUUUGGAUCAUUAUUGAGCAGAACCUGUCAUCAGCAUGGAAGCAUGUCCUCUGGGACAGUGGUUGAAGCAUGAAGGGGCACAUGAACAUUUAACAUAUCUGUCACACAAAUACCUCGCAUGCUUGCUAUAGAAGUGCCAUGUGAAUGUCUGUUCUCACUUUCAGGUGACAUUAUAGACAAGAAGUAGGAAGCAUUAACUCCUGCAAAUUGUAACCCAACUUGUUUGAGCAAUUGGGUGAACAAUUAGGACUGAGUGGAUUUGUAGGUUCUGAAUAUUUUUGUACAUAGUUCAGUUCAACUUUCAUGAUAAAGAGAUUGCAUUGCUGUACUUGUAUUAGGUGAAUUGAAAAAUACGAUUUAUUUUGUUUUUUACAAUGCAAAUAUUUGUAAUCAUAUACAUAAAUUAAACAUUGUGCACUUUGCAUUUUGUGUUCUAGUUAAAAUAAAUAUAUUUGGAAAUAUACAAGAUAGAAUAUAAUCUAAUUAAAUAUUUAGCUAUUAUUUUAACAGUGCAAUUAAUUGCAUGAUUAAUUGCAAGUUUUAAUCACACAAUCAAUUAUGAUUAAUUUGUUAUUGUUUGAUGGUCCUAAUUAAAAUAAA